AUUUUCAUUUUCAGUUGUCUCUUUCCUUUUUCUUUUGCGGCUGUUUACCCUCUGGUCUAAGGAUCUUUCAUGUUUUGACCAUACUCUUUUUUUUCACAAUG